rnacentral:rRNA from 1 species
ACGCUGGCGGCGUGCCUAAUACAUGCAAGUAGAACGCUGAAGGAGGAGCUUGCUUCUCUGGAUGAGUUGCGAACGGGUGAGUAACGCGUAGGUAACCUGCCUGGUAGCGGGGGAUAACUAUUGGAAACGAUAGCUAAUACCGCAUAAUAGUAGAAGUUGCAUGACAUUUGCUUAAAAGGUGCAAUUGCAUCACUACCAGAUGGACCUGCGUUGUAUUAGCUAGUUGGUGGGGUAACGGCUCACCAAGGCGACGAUACAUAGCCGACCUGAGAGGGUGAUCGGCCACACUGGGACUGAGACACGGCCUAGACUCCUACGGGAGGCAGCAGUAGGGAAUCUUCGGCAAUGGACGGAAGUCUGACCGAGCAACGCCGCGUGAGUGAAGAAGGUUUUCGGAUCGUAAAGCUCUGUUGUAAGAGAAGAACGAGUGUGAGAGUGGAAAGUUCACACUGUGACGGUAUCUUACCAGAAAGGGACGGCUAACUACGUGCCAGCAGCCGCGGUAAUACGUAGGUCCCGAGCGUUGUCCGGAUUUAUUGGGCGUAAAGCGAGCGCAGGCGGUUAGAUAAGUCUGAAGUUAAAGGCUGUGGCUUAACCAUAGUACGCUUUGGAAACUGUUUAACUUGAGUGCAAGAGGGGAGAGUGGAAUUCCAUGUGUAGCGGUGAAAUGCGUAGAUAUAUGGAGGAACACCGGUGGCGAAAGCGGCUCUCUGGCUUGUAACUGACGCUGAGGCUCGAAAGCGUGGGGAGCAAACAGGAUUAGAUACCCUGGUAGUCCACGCCGUAAACGAUGAGUGCUAGGUGUUAGACCCUUUCCGGGGUUUAGUGCCGCAGCUAACGCAUUAAGCACUCCGCCUGGGGAGUACGACCGCAAGGUUGAAACUCAAAGGAAUUGACGGGGGCCCGCACAAGCGGU